rnacentral:rRNA from 1 species
CAGUUCGGAUUGGAGUCUGCAACCCGACUCCAUGAAGCUGGAUUCGCUAGUAAUCGCGCAUCAGCCACGGCGCGGUGAAUACGUUCCCGGGCCUUGUACACACCGCCCGUCAAGCCAUGGGAGCCGGGGGCGCCUGAAGUGCGGUACCGCGAGGGCCGCCCAAGGGCGAGACCGGUGACUGGGGCUAAGUCGUAACAAGGUACC